AUUAAUUUUAUUAAAAGUAAACUAAAAGAAUUGUUUUGUGUUUAUCAACUUAAUGUAUUCGUCAUAGACUAUCAUAGUUUGUAACAAUUUUGCACAAAUUGUGUUUUGGGUUGAUUUUUUUGAUAUUUUGAUAUUUUGAUAUUUUGAUCAUUAUAAUUCCAAGAAUCAAGCUUUAGGCCACAGAAUUCUAUGAAGUAUGAGUAUGAACUACCAUUAAUACAUUUGAAUUUUUUUUAUCUUUUUGUCUUUGAAAACCUUCAGGUUCUGUCUGUAUGACUCAAGAGAUUUGUUUUGUUUUAUUUAGGGCAAUUUUAGCCAAUCUAUUAUCUAUUUAUCCUGCACCUGGCCAAAUACAUUUGCUCUGACCCAUUUCUUAGACAGCUGUUUUCUGUUAACUUUCCAGGGAGAAAAGUACUUGGUCAGCCAAAGAAAAUACUGCAAGUGCCAGCAAGGGAAUCUUGCAUGAUAACUUAGCAAACCGAUUCUAUUUUGACCCUCUUCAUUCUGUUUCAGAGCAUUCAAAUUCAAGUCCCUUCAGGUUGGACUGAAUGAGGAGGAAAAUAUCCAAACUUUACAUUAACCCAUAAAUAACAUUCUUCCCAUACAAAUGAAACCUCCAAAUGGAACUAAAGCCUGCACUUCCAACUAUCUUAAAGCUAAGAUUGGAAGUCCUAAUAUACCCAAUUUUCUGCCCUCUCUUUCCUUCAUUACAGAAUUGGCACAGGAAACUCUCUAAUCCUUGCUGGAAUCCUGCCAUCUCUGGCAGAGAGCAACGGACUCUUCAAUUGUGACACAGUAAAGCAUUUCACAAAGCUGUGGAAGGACAGUUCUGGUGAAAGAAAGCUACUCUCCAGCAGUUUCAGCCCUGACUUAGCUGUUGUAGUCAGGGUGGCCAGAGAGCCACCCCCUUAGGGAAUGCUACAGUUUACAGAUUGAAAUUGUACCUCACCCACAUUCAGGUGGUGAAAACCUACCUUCCAGUGCCUCAGCUGUGACUGUGUUUGGGGGUGGGAAUUUAAAAGAGGCAAUUGAAUUAAAAUGGGGUCAUUACUAUGGACCCUAAACUAGUGACCUUCUCAGACACAGAGGGAAGACUAAGAAGGAAAAAAUGAUUACCUAUAAAUGAGAAACAGAGAGAGAGAGAGAAAGAGAGAAUGCUCAAAAGAAACUAAUCUUGACAAUGCCCUGAACUUAGAUUUCAGCUUCUUGAACUAUGAGAAAAAUUGUUUCUGCAUUGAAUGCAACCAUUCUGUGACAUGUGGUUGUGGUGGCACUUGUACACUCCUUCACUCAGCAACAGUGAUGAGCAGCAGUAGCUCCAUGUCUGUGUUAUUGGGAGGCUGGCUCUUUGAAUCCAGAAACUCAAAUGUAGUAGCCAGUGAGCUCCACGUCUGCACCUCUUGGCUAAUCAGGCUUCUCUUUCUGAGUAGAUGGAGUCUUCCCUCCUUGGUUAUUGGUUAUUUUCUUGGACUCAGUUAUUUUCAAAUCCAUGUACAAGAUAUUAUAACCUAAAUUAGUCCCAGCAGGAAGUAGCUAGAGAGCUAGCUUCUUUCUGUGAACGCACACAUGCAUUAAUAACUGAUAAAUAUUCUAAUAAGUGUUUUAAAGGUCAACAAGAGGCAGAUUCUUGGCAAGGCAAAGAAAUCGUGUACAUAAGCUGUGUGUGUGUGGGGGGGGGUGGAAUUCAGAGCCUGUUUAUGUUUUCCCUUUAGGUCAUGUAUGGAGGCAUGAGGAUUUAUAUGACUCCACCAGGAAUAGUGAACGCCUGUCCUGGACAAGUUGGUAGAGACACUUUUCCCUUUAAUUCAGAGUGUGUGUUUGAGAAAAUUUCCACAAGAAAUGUAUUAAACACAGGAAAUGGAGAGCAUUAACUUAGGAAUUGAAAUAAGGGGGACAAGGUGACUUCUUGGCGUGCAUUACAUUAUCCCACCAUGUCUGUAGGAUUUGGCUUCUCUGGGAUAGCACCAUUCCAUGCAGACUUCCCAGCCUCUCUGAGAAGGAGGGGAUAGAACGGGUGGGGAAGAGCCAACUGACAGAUACUGACACAGGAUUCCCAAGCUGGUCCUGCAUCUGCCACCUAGAGUAGGACUCUAAGUCCUGGUGAGGUGCUCCUCUGAGCAUGCGUCUUAAAGCACACCUGCAUUCUUCUGGAAGGCAUGCACUUGUUCCACUUGCUAAUGCAGUGAGUGUGUGUGUGUGGGGGGGUAGCAUUCAGUGGUUUUACUUCCAUUCCUCCUUAUUUAUAACCAUAAAUACAGGGACAAACUAAGGCAAAGGUCUCCUCCUCUUGGCAUCCAUAGGAAGCAUAUUGGUUCAGCAAAUCUUCCAUUUCACUUCGGUUUAUUCUUCUUUGUGCUAAAUUUAAGUCAAAUUAAAAUCAAUUUUCACUUCUUAAAAUGGUAAGUUUGAGGUGAUCUGCUGUAACGAAGCCCUUUAUCUACCUGAUCUCUCUUAAAAUAGCUUUUUACCUGAGCAAUCGGGGAGUAUGAAUUCUGGGUUGUGGGAUUUACUGCCUCUGUCUCUUUUUUCCUUGUUUCUGCUUUCCCCUUGAACACUUCCAGAGUGCUUAAAGUAGUUUUGUCAUGUAGACAUAUUAUGAUGUAAGAUCUAUAAAGUUAUUUUUCUUUACAAAUCGGACAUCCACAUCUAAGUGAAUUAAUAAACAUAUCUAAGGUUUUUUUUUCCUCUCAUUGGUGAAAGUGAACUUUGCAGUUCAGACCCAGACAAUAAUGUUUGUAUUUUGGGUCAAACUGCCUAUUUUGCCCCGAUGAAUGUGCAUCAUAGUCAACUCCAAGGCUCACUCAGUGCACUGGAGACAGAACACACAUCCCAUACUUCCUAGCAUUCUCUAUGCUAUGAUCCACAGUACCCACUUUACAAGACAACUGGCUAUGUGUGCAAGGUACGCCUCCGUCAUGAAAACCAGUAUUGUCUUUCUAUCUAUCAUAAUGGUUUCCAGAGAACACAAGUCACAAAAUCCUGGCAUACAAAUGCAGAAAUCAUGUUCUAGUUCAGACGUUGCUCUUUCUAGUUGAGGAAACCCAGAGAGAUGAGGUGUCUUCUCACCCGAGGUCAUCAGCAUGCUAAGGACAAAGCCUACUGAACUACGUACAACUGUGCCCUUUGGGUUUCAGCUCACUAUGUUUAUCCCAAGCUUGAGACAUCCCUGGCUUUCAUUUCCUUUGUCCUGGCUUUGGCUUCUAUCUACUGCGUUGUUGUUGUAGUAUUGUCACAUCGUUUCAAGGCAUGAAUGACAAUAGGUCCCGGAUAAAAAUAAGAUCAGAGCACAGAACAGCUCUCCUAACUCCCCAGGCCCAGCUGUGUCUGAAAAAGCAUAAAGACAUGCACUGCAAACAGGACACUACACGCUACUCACAGGCUCUCUUCCCAAGUAGAACAUUCUCAAAGGAUGAUUUUUUAAAAUGUUUUUACAGAUAAGAUAGAGAAAAUGUAUGCGUCUAUUCAACUUUAAAUAAUCAUGGAUAAGUGAGAAUAGAAUUUGUUUUAGAAACCAAUAGAGCACAAAAUUUGAAAAAAAUGAAAGGCGAUACUUAUUUGAAGAGGAGAGAUACUUCUGAAGUUUGAUAUACACUUAACUAGAUGUAAAAGUCUAAAAUAAAAACAGUUGUAAAGAAUGAUUUGAGACAGCUGCUGCGGUAAAUGUGACACCAGAAGAUGCUCAGCCGGUGAGAGGUGGCCUUUUAGGGAAAGGUAAGCAUGCUCAAACUUUUAUCACACUGUACUUUUAUGGAAAUAUGUUACAAUGGAAAGACGCCCAUGUGAAAAAUCAUAAACCUUUGACUACAAAUUGAAGAUCUAUAAUUUAAAAUGUUUUAUGCCUAUAGGAAUCUCUUAUGCAGGCAUGUCUGAGUACCAUGUGCUUGUCUGGUACCCACAGAGCUCAGAAGAGGGUGUGGCAUCCUCUGAGACUGGAGUUACAGCUAUGAACUGUCACGUGACAUAGGUGCUGGGAACCGAACCUGGAUCCUCGGGAACUGCAGAAAGUGCUCUCAAAUACCGUUCCACCACUCCAGCCCCCACUACAGGGAUUUGGAAGAAAAUAUUUACAUGAUGAUUAUGGUGGUACAAAGGAAGUGUACUGAAUCUGAUCAUCAAAACACAACUGCAUAUCAAUAACAUCGAAGGAACAGUAAACUGAGCUUCAAUGUAUAAUAGGGCUCAGAGAACCAGUGGAAGAGGAGAAAGAAGGAGUAUAAGAGCCAGAGGGAUGGGGGACAGCAAGAAAACAAGGCCCUGUAAACCAACGGGACUGAUGUACACAUGAACUUACAGAGACUGAGGCAUCGUGCACAGGGCUUACAUGGGUCUGCACCAGCUGGGGUCCUCUUGCUGCAAGGAGAAGCAGACACAUGCCCCGAGCCCUAACCAGAAGCAUUGAUAACCAGUCGAUGGAUAACCACUUGCAAAUGAAAACUUCGUUUUCUUCAAGGGAGUUGCACUGGGGAAACAAACGACACUGAAGGGUAGGCUGCUUGCACUGCAGUAACGACUCUGAAGGGUAGGCUGCUUGCACUGCAGUAACGACUCUGAAGGGUAGGCUGCUUGCACUUCAGUAACGACUCUGAAGGGUAGACUGCUUGCACUGCAGUAGUUGGUCAAACUCACUGGCAUCCUUGGGGGUUCUUGUCCCAAAAUGUUGUCAGAGCUUUGUUUUUAAUCUUAUUUUAUAUUUAAAUUUUUAUGUGUAUUUUUUCCUCUUUGUACUCCUCAGGUUCUUGGGGUAUAUACAAAGGCUUUCAGUUUCGUGUUACAGGCAACGACUGAGCGUGAGAAUGAGUGGCUCUCUGAUUCUUGUGCCCUCUCUUGGGCUCUUUUACUUGGGCUUGCUUGUUUUGUACUACUGCGAUGUGUUAGUCUUUGUUUUGAUCUAAUUAUAUCUUAUUCUAUUAUUACCACUUGGAAACCUGAUUGUUUUCUAGUGAGAGAGGGAAAGGGGAUGAUCCAGAUGGGAGGGAAGGGAGGUGGAACUGAAAGGAGUAGGGCGGGAACUAUAAUCAGAAUCUAUUAUGCGAGAAAAAAAUUUAUUUUCAAUAAAAGAAAAAACAAAGAGGCUGUAUAUUUGAUGUUGUAAAUCCCUAGAGGGAGAACUGGGCGAAAUCGUGAGCUUCAUGACACUCUAGUGAGGAAUAUAAGCUGUGUCUCGCCACGAUGUUCCUUGUUACUUGAUUUUCCUAUGCAUCUUAGAAGAGCGAUGGUUCAGAGGAAUGACGGUGAAUAUGGUCUAGUCCUUAGCCCUCAACAAAAUCCUCCUUCACCACCAAAACAAAUCCCUUGAAAUAAGUUCCGAGCCGUUCACUAGCCUUUGAGCUGGUCAGCAGUAUAAUCUCUCCCCUAUGGUAUUCCUAUACAAGAAGUUCAUGUGACCAACCUUAACACUGUAUUUGUUUUCAUCUCCACUACAGUAAGUUCGGAUAGUCAAGAGAAGACCUCUUAUCCACCCAGAUGCUGCUCAACUUUGCCAUGUCUCCAAAAGACAACAGUGUUUGAUCUGCCCAACUGAAUUAAUCUGGAAGGAAAAAUGUCCUUCAGAUGAGCUAUUCAGAAACCCUUUCUGUUAGCUAUUGCUGUUUUCCUGUUCAGUUCUUGGGGAGACUUCACAGUUUUAAUUUUCUUCCCCAGACUAAGUUACUCUUGUGUCUUUCAUCCUCUUUCUUCAGAUUAAUUAAUUACAAAUUAAUCUUCUGAUGUGGAUAUGUGCUUCUUCUCUGUUGCAUGUGUCUUCCUCUGAGUUAGGAACACAGGAAAGUAGCUAUGAUGCGAAUAAUGUUCUAAUCACUGAGCAGUAUACACUGAUCACCACGAGUCACAGAGGGGUGAGUGGAUGCUCAGACACAAUUAGGUCCUUCACCUUUGCUCAGGGAAAUGACAAUUUUCCUUUAGUACAUGUGCAUGUAGUUACAUCUUCAUAGACAUAUUUUUCUUGCAUUCAUUACUUAAAAAGAAAUGAAGAUGGUUAAUAUUCUCAGACUUUGUCCUUUGU
rnacentral:sRNA from 1 species